rnacentral:lncRNA from 1 species
CAAAUGGUGGGAAUGAUCACUAGGCUGCUCAGAGAAGGCAAGAGCUGAACAGAUAGUAGUUGAAUAGAAACAAAGAGUGGGAGUUUUCUAGAUGAGCAAGGAUAGGAAGGACAUUCUAAGCAGAAGGAAUUGCAUGAAGACACAACAGCAUGAGAUAAUAAUAAAAACUCGUAUUUAUUCAGCAUUUACUAUAUGCCUGGGCUAGGUUGAGCACUUUUCAAGCACAAUUUCAAUUACUCAUUGAAAUCACUUUAUGACACAAGUACUGUUACUCUGCCUGCUUAAUAUAUGAUAAAUUGAGGCUUUGAGAAUUAAAUAAUGUGUUCAAGUCAAAUAGUUAAUAAGUAAUGGAGGUGGGACUCAAACUCAGGUCUUAUUUUUUAUUUCUUUUCCUGAAACUGAGCUCCUGAUGCCAUAUUGCUACAUGGCACAUGACCCGGAGGUGUGGAGUCAGGAUAAAAAGAAGCUCCACAUCAGGCAGGGAUCCUCCGGCUGCAUACACAGAUAAGUGGAGUGUUUACUGCACUGUGAGCAAGGGAGUGAGAUGACCAUAGGAAUGUUUUCAAAAGAUUCCUUUUGUAGCAGUUGUGCAGACAGGAUUGGUGAAGAAGACCUUGGAGGAAGGGAAAGCUGAGAGAAUAGGUGGAAUUUUCUCUCCUGAUGAUAAGUAAUGAGAGCUAAAUAAAGGCAACUGUAUGGAGAUGGAUGUGGAGGAUUGAUUUGCAAAAUAUGUAGCAUUAACGAGCUACGUGACUUGGGCAGAGGAGAGAGGACUCAGAGAAAUGCCAGUGUCUUGCUUGGCUGGGAGAGUUGGUGAAUUGAAUGACCUAUAGCCAAGAUUCUGUAAACAGAACAGCUAACAAUGAAUACCAAUGAUCUGCUGUCUCUCAGCACCAAUCAGCUGUUCCCAGGUCCCAACGUUAUGAGAGGAGGUGAGCAAAUGCAGAACAACACAGCUAACUUCAGAAGCCUCCAAACAGGUUAUUUCUUCAGCAUCUGACCACCUCAACCAUCCUAUAAGAAAGUCUGGGGACUGAUGGCAAUUCCUGAAAAGUCUUUAUCGCAUUUUCUUUAAAAGAUUUUACAAGCUUUUUAAUAUUGUCAUAUGUUGGUACACAGAACAUUCUUAGAUUAUGAUUUUAUAUGGUGAAGAGGGAAUGACAUCAGUAAUGGCAAGUCCUAGGAAAGUAGUUAUGUUUCUGAUUUCAUUCUGUUAUUUGUUUUAAUAUCCUGUAAUAGGGCCCCUCCUUGUAUGAUCAGGAAUCAGAUUUUCAAAAAAGCAAAUGUGGUCUCUC